rnacentral:rRNA from 1 species
CAGCAGCCGCGGUAAUACGGAGGGGGCUAGCGUUGUUCGGAAUUACUGGGCGUAAAGCGCACGUAGGCGGCUUGGUAAGUUAGAGGUGAAAGCCCGGAGCUCAACUCCGGAAUUGCCUUUAAGACUGCCGAGCUAGCAGGUGAGAGAGGUAAGUGGAAUUCCGAGUGUAGAGGUGAAAUUCGUAGAUAUUCGGAAGAACACCAGUGGCGAAGGCGGCUUACUGGCUCAUUCUAGACGCUGAGGUGCGAAAGCGUGGGGAGCAAACAGGAUUAGAUACCCCCGUAGUCCCUGUCUCUUAUAC